CACGGGGGGAGCAAGCGUUGUUCGGAAUCACUGGGCGUAAAGGGCGCGUAGGCGGGAUGGCAAGUCGGUCGUGAAAUCCUUCGGCUCAACCGAAGAACGUCGAUCGAUACUGCUGUUCUUGAGGGUUGCAGAGGAGACUGGAAUUCCCGGUGUAGCGGUGAAAUGUGUAGAGAUCGGGAGGAACACCGGUGGCGAAGGCGGGUCUCUGGAACGCAACUGACGCUGAGACGCGAAAGCGUGGGGAGCAAACAGG
rnacentral:rRNA from 1 species